ACAGGUCAUAAAGUAUUGUAAAUGACACAAGUUACUCAAUAAAAAUCCAAAGGUGUACAAUCAACUCAAAAUAGUACAGAGCGAGUAUCCAAAGAGUAGGCAUGUACAUACCCUGUACAUUUCAAUUAACAUAUGCAGUUUGCAUUGAGUUUUACUAGCUCAUGACUUCAAGUAAAAAAAAAAUCGGACAAUCAAUAUAACCAAUGAGCCACGACGAAUAUGCGACAUAAUCAAACAAAAACCAAAAAUGGAAAUCAAAGUAAAAGAUAUGGUGCAAUGUAACACAGAAUCAAGAUCUUAAAAUAAGUUUAACAUUGCAACAAUAUUUUUACCGAGUGCGGAACCGUUGCAAUCGUCGGAGGCUGGUUAAUCCGUGUGGAUGAGUCGUGAAGUCGGAGGGUGUUGUUGAUGUGGAGCUCGCGACAGCGUUAUGAAUGGAGAUGUUGUAAAAGCGUGACCGCUGGAGACGGAGAAGAGUGGAGGAGGACGAACGUUGUUGUCGGCGGAACGCGGAGAUGGGUCGAGAUUGGAAGAGACGGAAACGGCGGAAGGUUUGAGCUGUCGCCGACAAAAGUUUGUCACGGUGAGCGGUUGGAGGUGCGUACGUUUAUCGAUGGCGGCUUUGGUGCUUGGUGCGGUUGUCGCUUGGUGUGGGUGG
rnacentral:lncRNA from 1 species